rnacentral:rRNA from 1 species
AUGAACGCUGGCGGCGUGCCUAAUCCAUGCAAGUCGAGCGAACAGACGAGGAGCUUGCUCCUCUGACGUUAGCGGCGGACGGGUGAGUAACCCGUGGAUAACCUACCUAUAAGACUGGGAUAACUUCGGGAAACCGGAGCUAAUACCGGAUAAUAUAUUGAACCGCAUGGUUCAAUAGUGAAAGACGGUUUUGCUGUCACUUAUAGAUGGAUCCGCGCCGCAUUAGCUAGUUGGUAAGGUAACGGCUUACCAAGGCAACGAUGCGUAGCCGACCUGAGAGGGUGAUCGGCCACACUGGAACUGAGACACGGUCCAGACUCCUACGGGAGGCAGCAGUAGGGAAUCUUCCGCAAUGGGCGAAAGCCUGACGGAGCAACGCCGCGUGAGUGAUGAAGGUCUUCGGAUCGUAAAACUCUGUUAUUAGGGAAGAACAAAUGUGUAAGUAACUAUGCACGUCUUGACGGUACCUAAUCAGAAAGCCACGGCUAACUACGUG